rnacentral:rRNA from 1 species
GAUGAACGCUGGCGGCGUGCCUAAUACAUGCAAGUCGAGCGAACAGACGAGGAGCUUGCUCCUCUGACGUUAGCGGCGGACGGGUGAGUAACACGUGGAUAACCUACCUAUAAGACUGGGAUAACUUCGGGAAACCGGAGCUAAUACCGGAUAAUAUAUUGAACCGCAUGGUUCAAUAGUGAAAGACGGUUUUGCUGUCACUUAUAGAUGGAUCCGCGCCGCAUUAGCUAGUUGGUAAGGUAACGGCUUACCAAGGCAACGAUGCGUAGCCGACCUGAGAGGGUGAUCGGCCACACUGGAACGGAGACCCGGUCCAGACUCCUACGGGAGGCAGCAGUAGGGAAUCUUCCGCAAUGGGCGAAAGCCUGACGGAGCAACGCGGCGUGAGUGAGGAAGGUCUUCGGAUCGUAAAACUCUGUUAUUAGGGAAGAACAAAUGUGUAAGUAACUAUGCACGUCUUGACGGUACCUAAUCAGAAAGCCACGGUUAACUACGU